rnacentral:rRNA from 1 species
GGAACGGGUGAGUAACGCGUGAGCAACCUGCCUAUGACAGUGGGAUAGCCUCGGGAAACCGGGAUUAAUACCGCAUAAAAUCGUAGAAACACACGUUUUAACGGUCAAAGAUUUAUCGGUCAUAGAUGGGCUCGCGUCUGAUUAGCUAGUUGGUGAGAUAACAGCCCACCAAGGCGACGAUCAGUAGCCGGUCUGAGAGGAUGAACGGCCACAUUGGAACUGAGACACGGUCCAA